AAUCCUGCCUGGCAGAGGAAAUACCAUGUUCAGGAAAGUGGGUUUCCCAGGGUGAGGCACAUCCAUUGCACUGUGGGUGUGCUGACCCCUGUGAUUUCUCCGAAAGGAGACACUCGACUGCACAAUCUAUGGUAGUGGGGGACUGUGUGAGGAUUUUCCCCUG
ensembl:snRNA U1 U1 spliceosomal RNA